AUGUAAACAUUUUUGUACAUGACUUGGAAACCAUAAAACUAAAAGUAUUGGAUUAAAUAAAGAUCAUAAUGUCUAAAGGAUUUGGCGAAAGACUUCUAUGGGACGUUGCUAUUGACCAAGCCCAAGAAACGGAUGAUGGACCAAAAAGCGAAGAUGCAGCUCUUUUUUUUAUUGGAAGUAAAAAUUCAGGAAAAACAUCAAUAAUUCUGAGGUUUUUGGACAGGUAUAAAGAACAUACAUGUAUUCAGUUGCCUAAAAAAUACGAAAACCUAGUAUAUUACUGUAAACCAACCUUAGAUCUUGUUUGUGAUUUAUGGGAUUCUGAUUUUUGGUGUCUAAUUUUUUGGCUAGAAAAAAAAAACAAAAAAUGCUGCAACGAUACUCUUACAAACCUUGCGAACAUUUCUCUCACUUGAAUAAAAGUUGGUUUUAUCACAGUAUCUUAAAAAGUUUCUUAAAUUUUGAAAGAUUUAUUAUAUAAUACAGAACCAUAUUUUAACACCCCUAGUAUUGUUAACCAAAAAAAUAUAGCCUAAUCAUUGUUAUCAAGCUUGUCACAAUGUUAACUGAUCUGAUUGGAUGAUUUCUGAACUGUUUCAGAGAUGAAGCACCAAAACCUACUGUAGCAUUGGAAUACACAUUUGGUAGGAGAGCCAAAGGUCAUAAUAUUGCUAAAGAUGUUGGUCAUAUUUGGGAACUGGGAGGAGGCACUUGGCUGUCUAAGCUGAUGGAAGUACCUCUGAAUCCAGACACAUUACAACAUACCACACUAGCCAUUGUUGUAGAUUUGUCCAAACCCUCGGAGAUCUGGUUUACCCUGGAGACCCUGCUAGCAGCGGCAAAGGCGAGGGUAGAGAACAUUCUGACAGAGAUGAAGCAGGAGUGCCCCGGACUGAAGGAGAAAUUACGCAAGAAAGCUUGGGAGAGAGUAGGGGAGGAACACUCAGACAAGGCAAUGAUAGAUCCUUUCCUCAUUCCGUUGAUAAUCAUUGGAGGAAAAUAUGAUGUGUUCCAAGACUUUGAUUCUGAAAAGAGAAAGGUUAUAUGCAAGACACUAAGAUUCAUUGCUCACACAAAUGGGGCAACAUUACAGUUCUGUGGACUUAAACAAGAGCAGCUUGUAAUGAGGAUGAGAGGCCUAAUCAGCCACCAUUUAUUUGGGACGACCAUGGGAAAAUCUCUCCAAGUGGAUCACAAUAAACCUCUAAUGGUGGCAGCAGGCCAUGACUCCUUACAGCAGAUAGGCACUCCUCCUUUAUCAGAACAAGACAUUGGUAGAGUCCAUGCAAAGAACCCUAUGCAGUUGUGGAAACAUGCAUUUACAGGAUUUUUCCCACAAGAUGACAUAUCAAACCCUGCCCUGGUUGAUGACCCCUCCAAGGAUCCCCAGUAUCAGGAGGCAGCCAUCGAUUCACUCAGAUCUCAGAAAGACGAGGAAUUGGAGAGAUAUCGCAGGUUGUGUGAAAGAAGAAGUAAAGAGGCCCAGAGGGCCGCCCAGACAGCGUACUGAUUAAUCACUCUGAACUUGUUGAUUACAGAGUCUAGAAAAUCCACUCAUCGUCAGAUGCUGGACACCUGCAUAAACCAAUUUUUAAUUCAAAUACUAGUAUACUGCCUCAGACUGAUCAGUGAAACAGAGAAAUUAUGUGAAAUCAGACCAUCACAUGUUCUUUCUCAUAGUCGAAUCCGUCCUUUUUUCAAAGACUUGUUUUAUCUACUUGUACAUUGUAUAUUUAUAUUGAUAUGUAGCUAUUUGCAGUUUGCAAAUAAAUUCUCUAAAUCAG
rnacentral:misc_RNA from 1 species